rnacentral:tRNA from 1 species
GCCGAGGUGGCAGAGUCCGGUUAAAUGCGCAGGCCUUGAGUCAAAUUUUUCUGCGAGAAAGUCUGUUCUUCGAAAGGAGAGCUUGGGUUCAAAUCCCAACCUCGGCG